AGAGUUUGAUCCUGGCUCAGAAUCAACGCUGGCGGCGUGCCUAACACAUGCAAGUCGAACGAGAAAGUGGAGCAAUCCAUGAGUAAAGUGGCGCACGGGUGAGUAACACGUGACUAACCUACCUUUUUGUGGGGGAUAACCUAGGGAAACCUGGGCUAAUACCGCAUAAUACCUACGGGUCAAAGCAGCAAUGCGCAGAAAGAGGGGGUCGCGGCCGAUUAGCUAGUUGGCGGGGUAACGGCCCACCAAGGCAGUGAUCGGUAUCCGGCCUGAGAGGGCGCACGGACACACUGGAACUGAAACACGGUCCAGACUCCUACGGGAGGCAGCAGUGGGGAAUUUUGCGCAAUGGGGGAAACCCUGACGCAGCAACGCCGCGUGGAGGAUGAAGUCCCUUGGGACGUAAACUCCUUUCGAUCGGGACGAUAAUGACGGUACCGGAAGAAGAAGCCCCGGCUAACUUCGUGCCAGCAGCCGCGGUAAUACGAGGGGGGCAAGCGUUGUUCGGAAUUAUUGGGCGUAAAGGGUGCGUAGGUGGUUCGGCAAGUCUUGUGUGAAAUCUUCAGGCUCAAA
rnacentral:rRNA from 1 species